UGGGUUGCUUUCAUCAGGUUCUCAAAGGGGAUUGUGACCUCAUAUAAUGACAACGAUCUCUGGAACACUGGGGACCAGCAGCUCCUUGAGUCACCUAAGUUCAACAGGGCUUCCCCAGCCCAUGGUGCCAGGCCUGUCUGGGGUUUGGGAGACAGAGUGCCCAGGAGCUGGGAUUUUCUUCCCCAUCUGUCGAAAGAACAGCGCACUAUCGUGUUGGAUAACCCUCAGAGCAACACUGCCAGACCACGGGUGCUGCGGUUGCCUUCAUUCUGGAGACCAGAGACCAAGGCUUGGAGGGCUGUGUGAACUUGCCCAGGCCCAAGUGGCAGGACCUCCUCGCCAUCCACUGUGGCAGGGAUGGGGACAACCAGUCCUGGCCAUGGACACCCCUACCCAGCAUCAGCCAAGCAUGGAGGCAAGAGCAGACCCCAGCGCGGGAGUGGAAGAUUCCAGAGCCUCCCUGCCUCAUCCAGUCUCCGGGGCUUCCCAGACCCUCACGAGGAACCUGAGAAGACACGCAGCGAGUGUUGGAUUCAACUGCGGCUUCAGUGAAAGAGUGGUCGAAUGAGUGAACGCUGGUCCACAGUGGAACGCCGUCUGUCUUCCCUGGCCCUGGAACACCUUCCCCCGGCCCCUCCAAAUCCCUCCUUGGCUUCCGGCCCUCCUGGGCAGGAAGGGCCAGUGGCUGGGCGAUGUGUAGCUCGCUGGGACCGGGGAGGGGGCCCGUGAUGAGUCUGCACAUCUG